ACCCGCACAAGCAGAGGAGCGCGUGGUUUAAUUCGACGGCAAUCGAAGAACCUUACCAGGGUUUGAAAUGUAUCUGCAUGCCCUAUGAAAUAGGGAGGCCUUCGAGGGUGAUACACAGGUGCUGCAUGGCCGCCGUCAGCUCGUGUCGUGAGAUGUUGGGUUAAGUCCCGCAACGAGCGCAACCCCUACGUUUAGUUGCUAACGCGUGAAGGCGAGCACUCUAGACGAACUGCCGUUGACAAAACGGAGGAAGGUGGGAUGACGUCAAAUCAUCAUGCCCCUUAUGUUCUGGGCUACACACGUGCUACAAUGGCCGGUACAGACGGACGCAAAGCCGCGAGGUGGAGCAAAUCCUAAAAAGCCGGUCUCAGUUCGGAUUGCAGGCUGCAAUUCGCCUGCAUGAAGUCGGAAUCGCUAGUAAUCGCAGGUCAGCAUACUGCGGUCGAAUACGUUCCCGGGCCUU
rnacentral:rRNA from 1 species